UAGCAUAUCAAUAAGCGGAGGAAAAGAAACCAACAGGGAUUGCCUCAGUAACGGCGAGUGAAGCGGCAACAGCUCAAAUUUUAAAGCUGGCGUCUUUGGCGCCCGCGUUGUAAUUUGGAGAGGCAUCUUCGGUUUGGGCGCCAGCCUAUGUUCCUUGGAACAGGACGUCACAGAGGGUGAGAAUCCCGUGCCUGGCUGGCUGUCCCUUUCCAUGUGAAGUGCCUUCGACGAGUCGAGUUGUUUGGGAAUGCAGCUCAAAAUGGGUGGUAAAUUUCAUCUAAAGCUAAAUAUUGGCGGGAGACCGAUAGCGCACAAGUAGAGUGAUCGAAAGAUGAAAAGCACUUUGAAAAUAGAGUUAAAAAGUACGUGAAAUUGUUGAAAGGGAAGCGCUUGAGACCAGACUCGGCCGGAGAUGAUCAGCCGUCCUUCUGGGCGGUGCACUCGUUUCCGGCCGGGCCAGCAUCGGUUGAGACGGCGGGAUAAAGGCCCGGGGAAUGUGGCUCCUUUCGGGGAGUGUUAUAGCCCCGGGCGCAAUGCCGCCAGCCUCGACCGAGGACCGCGCUUAAUUGCUAGGAUGCUGGCGUAAUGGUCUUCAGCGACCCGUCUUGAAACACGGACCAAGGAGUCUAACAUCUAUGCGAGUGUUUGGGUGUCAAACCCUUGCGCGUAAUGAAAGUGAACGGAGGUGGGAACCCCUCGCGGGGCGCACCAUCGACCGGUCCUGAUGUCUUCGGAUGGAUCUGAGUAGGAGCAUAGCUGUUGGGACCCGAAAGAUGGUGAACUAUGCCUGAAUAGGGUGAAGCCAGAGGAAACUCUGGUGGAGGCUCGCAGCGGUUCUGACGUGCAAAUCGAUCGUCAAAUUUGGGUAUAGGGGCGAAAGACUAAUCGAACCAUCUAGUAGCUGGUC
rnacentral:rRNA from 1 species